AUUGAACGCUGGCGGCAGGCCUAACACAUGCAAGUCGAGCGAGCGGCGGACGGGUGAGUAACGUCUGGGUAACUGCCCGAUGGAGGGGGAUAACCACUGGAAACGGUAGCUAAUACCCCAUAUCAUCUGAUGUGUCCAGAUGGGAUCAGCUCUUGGGUGGGGUAAUGGCUCACCUAGGCAACGAUCCCUAGCUGGUCUGAGAGGAUGACCAGCCACACUGGAACUGAGACACGGUCCAGACUCGUACGGGAGGCAGCAGUGGGGAAUAUUGCACAAUGGGCGGAAGCCUGAUGCAGCCAUGCCGCGUGUAUGAAGAAGGCCUUCGGGUUGUAAAGUACUUUCAGCGAGGAGGCGUUACUCGCAGAAGAAGCACCGGCUAACUCCGUGCCAGCAGCCGCGGUAAUAC
rnacentral:rRNA from 1 species